UGACCUGUGGCUGGGGGUGAAAGGCCAAUCAAACCGGGAGAUAGCUGGUUCUCCCCGAAAGCUAUUUAGGUAGCGCCUCGUGAAUUCAUCUCCGGGGGUAGAGCACUGUUUCGGCUAGGGGGCCAUCCCGGCUUACCAACCCGAUGCAAACUGCGAAUACCGGAGAAUGUUAUCACGGGAGACACACGGCGGGUGCUAACGUCCGUCGUGAAGAGGGAAACAACCCAGACCGCCAGCUAAGGUCCCAAAGUCAUGGUUAAGUGGGAAACGAUGUGGGAAGGCCCAGACAGCCAGGAUGUUGGCUUAGAAGCAGCCAUCAUUUAAAGAAAGCGUAAUAGCUCACUGGUCGAGUCGGCCUGCGCGGAAGAUGUAACGGGGCUAAACCAUGCACCGAAGCUGCGGCAGCGAACGUAUCACCCAAGACAACUUUACGGAGUUGACGAUUGACGGAGCGAAGCGACGUCAAAGCGUUCAUUAAAGUCGAGUUGGCUUAGGGAUACGUUCGUUGGGUAGGGGAGCGUUCUGUAAGCCUGUGAAGGUGUGUCGUGAGGCAUGCUGGAGGUAUCAGAAGUGCGAAUGCUGACAUAAGUAACGAUAAAGCGGGUGAAAAGCCCGCUCGCCGGAAGACCAAGGGUUCCUGUCCAACGUUAAUCGGGGCAGGGUGAGUCGACCCCUAAGGCGAGGCCGAAAGGCGUAGUCGAUGGGAAACGGGUUAAUAUUCCCGUACUUGGUGUUACUGCGAAGGGGGGACGGAGAAGGCUAUGUUGGCCGGGCGACGGUUGUCCCGGUUUAAGCGUGUAGGUGUGUGUUCCAGGUAAAUCCGGUUCACUUUAACACUGAGGCGUGACGACGAGGCACUACGGUGCUGAAGCAAC
rnacentral:rRNA from 1 species